GUCGAAGGUCAUAAACAAAAAAGACGACUUUAUUUUCAAGACUUUGUCUCACAAUUUCGGCGUUAAAUUAACCCCUAAAGUCAUGCAUGCAUUGAGAUUGAUGUCUGACAACAACCAAUGCCUGCUACCUACAUCAGUGUCAUAUGACAGAUGCUCAACAAGUUCAACCAAUCAUGUGAUGCCUGCUACCUACAUCAGUGUCAUAUGACAGAUGCUCAACAAGUUCAACCAAUCAUGUGAUGCCUGCUACCUACAUCAGUGUCAUAUGACAGAUGCUCAACAAGUUCAACCAAUCAUGUGAUGCCUGCUACCUACAUCAGUGUCAUAUGACAGAUGCUCAACAAGUUCAACCAAUCAUGUGAUGCCUGCUACCUACAUCAGUGUCAUAUGACAGAUGCUCAACAAGUUCAACCAAUCAUGUGAUGCCUGCUACCUACAUCAGUGUCAUAUGACAGAUGCUCAACAAGUUCAACCAAUCAUGUGAUGCCUGCUACCUACAUCAGUGUCAUAUGACAGAUGCUCAACAAGUUCAACCAAUCAUGUGAUGCCUGCUACCUACAUCAGUGUCAUAUGACAGAUGCUCAACAAGUUCAACCAAUCAUGUGAUGCCUGCUACCUACAUCAGUGUCAUAUGACAGAUGCUUAACAAGUUCAACCAAUCAUGUGAUGCCUGCUACCUACAUCAGUGUCAUAUUAUGACAGAUGUUUUCUCUUCAUAAUUGUGGUACGGAUUCCAGUGAGAUCACCCAGCUACCCAGAACAAGAGUUUCAACGCCCAUCUCAAAAGUCAUCUUUUAGAGGAACAAGAUAAGUGUUUAAGAAUUAAAACAAGGUGUAGCAUCUAGUCUAUAGUGUCACAAUUGUUGUGAUUCUGGUGGUCUUUAUGCUAAGAAUCAACUUAAGUUUAACGAUAGGUUUUAAGCAGCAAAGAAAACAAAUCAUGGUGUCCUCAUGAUGUCACAACUCAUUAAGCAUCUGGCUGGACUUACCCUUUGUGAUUUUUUUUUAUUUUGACCCAAUGUGAUUAUACUGCUUGAUUUUCCCACCCCUUUAGUUUUUUAUUGUUUCAAUUUUUGACCACCAUUUGAUUAACAUGCUGGACUUACCCAUGUGAUUUUUUCAAUGAUCUAAACUUGAUUAAAAUGCCUGACUUACCCGCCCUUAAGUUUUUUUGUUGCUUCAAUUUGUGACGUGAUUUGAUUAAAAUGCAUGUCUAACCCAUUCUUUUUUUUUAAAUAGAAAAACUUUGGAGAAAUUCAAUAAAACUGUUUUGAUAACUAAUUCAGGUAACAAUUGUGUCCCUCAAGUGCAUGUUAAUUAUGUGUACACUUUUGUGUGUUUUCCUGCAGAGUGAUAAUGGAUUCCAGUGAGAACAUCCAUCUACCCAGGAUAUGAUAUUUCAAACGUCAUCUUUUAAAAGGUAUACGGAUUCCAGUGAGAUCACCCAUCUACCCAGAAUAUUAAGUUCCAACAUCCUCCGUCUUAAAAUUGAUCUUUUAAAAGUAUGGUACAUAUUCCAGUGAGAUCACCCAUCUACCUAGAACAAGAGUCCCAACGCCCAUCUCAAAGUCAUCUUUUAAAAAUGUGGUACGGAUUCCAGUGAGAUCACCCAGCUACCCAGAACAAGAGUUUCAACGCCCAUCUCAAAAGACCAAAUAUUUUGAAUAUUGGACUUGCCCCCCCCCCCCCCCCCCC